UAUUAUUGCAUAGCUUGUUUACUGUCCUGUUUAGUCACAGGAGAGCAUGUGAUGUAUAUUUUUUAUUUUAUUUUUCAUUUUGUUUGGAGUCACUGUUGGUUUUAAAAGAGAGGAAAAUAUUAGUUUAUUUGCAUUUGUCAUUGUGUCAAAUUAAUGUUUGUUUGCUCUUUUCCUUCUUUACACCAAAACUUGGUAAUAUUGAUUCUUAUCAAAAAGCAUGUUUCGACCCACUUGCUCUCUGUUAGUCACCCUUGCUAGGAUAUAUUUGCUCUUUAAUGCUUAUCCUUGCCUUAUUGUCUUGCAUGAUUGAAUGCACAAAACAUGUAGUCAUUAGUUGACUAUAGUCUGGUCAUUGUAUUAUGGGAAACUUUAAAUAAGAUAUUGAUUCAUUUAUCACUGGAGUAUUAAAAUUGUUUGAAUUUUGACCGUAGCUUUAGUGGUCUUGGAACAUUAAAAUGUCAUUUGUGUAUGGAUGUAAGACCCUUGGUGACAUACAUUAUCUUUCAUUGUGCUAAUAUUAUAAUAUGAUAGUAGAUAAAUAUUAGAAUAUGUUAGUAUAUAGAUUUUAGAAUAUGGUAGUAUAAUAAAUUUUAGAAUAUAGUAGUAUAAUAAAUUUUAGAAUAUAGUAAUGUAAUAAAUAUUAGAAUAUGAUAGUGUAUAAAUUUUAGAAUAUGGUAGCAUAUAAAUUUUGUUUUAUUUGGGUGUUUUCUUUAUAUUAUUCAUAACUCUUACUUACUGAUUCUCAUUUUCGUGUUUGCAUGUGAAAUUUGUCCGGGUUCUCACGGACCUCAUCCUUGCAUUUUCCUUUGGGCUACGGAAGUCCAAUUCCUCUUUAUCCGAGUUGGAUUCCCAAAAAUUGACGUGCAGAUCUCAGAGUGGAAAGAAUUCACAACAAAUUGAAAAGUCAAAAAAUUGGGCCAAAGGCCCACUCUCUACUUCGAAAUUGUAUUUUGCUAUUUUUGGGCAUAAGCCUUUUUAUUGUAAUUAUUAUUAGUUGUUAGUUAUUAAGACAGGUACAAGGAGACAAGAAUUGGGCCAAACGCCCAAAGAAAAAAAAAUUUCAAAGAUUAGUUUAGAACAGGUACUAAAUAUUGGGUCUUUGGUCCGGAAACAAAAAUUAGGCCCAAAUACUGGCCCAGGCGGACAGAAAAACCAGAUUUGGGCCCAAAUCUCUUUCCCUCUUCGUUUUAUUAUAUUUAUUUGUUGUUACUUUCCAUUAAUCUUAAGUCCAACAAUUCAAAUCUCCGAAAGAAGUCCAUUUUGCUUUUAAGAAAUAACUAAACCAAUUAUCUCUUAACAAAACUCAAAAAAUAAAUUUUGCAAAUUAUAUCACUUGAAUAGUAUUCCCGUAUUUCCUUCUUUUUUUCCUUUUAAAACGGUUCUAACUACAAAAACAGUUCAUUUUUACAAUUCAAGCUAAGUUAAAAUUAUUUUAGCCAAAUAAAUUAAUUGUCGGAUAAUCGCAUUAGCGGAUAUUCUAGGUGCUUCAAAAACCUUCCUAGAAUAUUAAUAGGAACCUCGAACCCUUCUUUAAAUAUUUUCAAUCGAUUUCCUGUUUUUAUCGUUUGAAAAAAUUAGUUUUCUUAAUUUUACUUAAAAAAUUAACUGGCGACUCUUAAAACCAGUCUAAUUAUAUUUUCCUAAUAAAACAGAAUGACGACUCUGCUGUGAAAUUGAAUUUAUCUAACCUUAAGAUUAAUUAUUUGGCUAUGUGUUUAACUGUUUACUUGUUUAAAUUAACGUAUCUUAUAUUAAUUGUGGCAUUCAUGGCACCCGAUUCCGCCAAACGGCAAAUAGAUUGCAUUAGGAAAAAGGCGGUUACGUUGCUUACCACGGCUGUCCUUCAGAAAAAAAACACAAGUCAAAUUUUUUGAAAGUGAUAAACGUAUAGUUGGCUUGUGGUCAUCCAACGUCGUUUAUUAGAGUAGAGCGAAACCAAAUCCAAACCUAGAGUAGAGCGAAACCAAAUCCAAAUCUAAGCAUUAACCUAAGACGGCUUAAUACCCAAGGCGUAUUAAGUCCAUUAGUAAAACUGCCAAAAAUCAUGUCCAAGGUCCACGACCUAACGACAUAUCAUAUUAUUUGACAUUUGAAAGAUGUGUGUGUGGAAACCUAAUUGUUACCUAUUUGGGGGAGGGAGUCUUAACUGUGCUUUGUUUUGUAGGUAUGGAUCGAUUUCCCAAAUUUGACAUGGUGGUGAAAGCUCCGGUUCUACUCAAGAUAUGGUACAAUGACCUCACUGUGGUUCAUAAAAGGGCCCUCAACAAAUAUAUAGGAGCCCUAACAGAACUCAUUAAUAUGGUUGGGUGGCCCGAACUGAUUGAAGUCUUUACGGGUUAUUGGGACAACGAGAAAAUGGUGUUUCGAUUUGGAACCAUGGAAAUCACCCCGACAAUUGAGGAAAUUCGAGACGGAAUAGUCACAAUCGGUACAGGGCUUGAAAGAAGAGUGAGAAAACAGGAACACAUCUUAAUCCCUAACAAGCCUACUCUCGAUGAUAUUAUAAAUUGGCUCGGAUUAAGAAAGGAUUACGCCUUCUGGGCCGAUGGUUCUAGCGUUUCUUUCAUGAAUCUCUAUGUUAGAUUCGGGAAUGCAACCUUUUAUGGGAAUUACAAUCAAGAGUUCAGGGUUACCUUCAGAGAAUGGUACGGGAUCUGACCUUUGGCAUUCACUAUCGCGCUAUUAGGCACUAUGGUUUUUCCUCAAGGCCCGAGCCUCAGCAUCAACACCCGGGUAAUAAUGCUGGCACACACUCUCUUCCACGGGCAUCUGAACCAAGGGUAAGUGAAGUAUUAUCUUAUCGCGCCUGUUAUCCUGUCCGACGUGUACCGUGCUUUGGAAAAAUGCAAGGAAGGACAUCGCUACUUUCAGGGUUGUAAUCUCCUCCUCCAAUGGUGGAUACUGAGCCACUUAGCGAAAUGACACGGGACGCAAAAGCUACACACCCUCGAUGAUAAUAAUGCUCUCAAGGGUUUGAAUGAUAUGUUGUUUUGGAUAGAUUUAGAAAAUAGGAGAACUAGAGGAAGAUGGACUCAGAUUUUCUCCGAGUUGAGAGAAGAAAAUAUCCAGUGGAUAUUCGACCGUUUCAUCUCGAAAAGAUGCCAUAGUACGGGGCGGCAGAAAACUUGUGCUUCCUCUACCAGGUAUUCGAGGUAUCCGUCUGUAUGCGCCCAUCCGGGUCCUGAGGCAGUUCGGAAGAAGACAAAUUACACCCCUAGAAGCAUACUACCGUAUCUAUGUGUUCGACAUCGGGGAUGAUAGAGUGCCUGAGGCUUCAGAGAUGCUGAAAGAAUGGAAAAGAGCAGUGCAAAUGAAAAAGGACACCAACGCCGCGGACCGAUUCAAUGCUGGGUACGAUGAAACCUACAAAGAUUGGUUGAAGGGAAAUAUACAAGGUAUCUCUUUCUCAGUUCCAAACAUUUAUCGCAGUGUAGAGGACAAAGAGUCCAAAACAUUGAUAGAAUUAAGAGAGGUAAGAAGAGAAGCCCAGGAAAUGCACGAGGAGUUUCUCCGAAAGUAAGAGGAGAAUAGGUACACCCUCGAGAGCUUAACUCAAGAAUUAGAAAGCCUGAGAAGCGAUUUGGGAGAGCUUAACUUAUGGAUUGGAGAUAAGAAAAGUGGAAUGUGUCUUGAAGACUGGGAAGAGAAAGGCCGCCGGAGCGAAUGAUACUUGUUAAUGAUUCAAUAUAGGCUUCAACAUCUCAUGGCACAGAACAAGAGGAGCAGAUCAGAGGCGGGGCCAUCGGGAGCGUCUUAGCGGAUUUCACCCCUGCGUGGGUCUUGCUAUAUGUACUUAUUGUCAUUUACCUCUGCGUGGGCUUGCCUUUCUUGUAUUUUGGUACUCUUUUCAAUGACCCAUGUGUGGGCCUUUCCUUUGUGUUUUUUCGUUUAUUCCCUACUUCCCCUGCUUAUUUUCGCUUCUUGUACAUCAUUUUAUAUGUGAAAUUUGCUUUGGGGUAACAAAAUGGUUCAAUUCUACACAUACAUCUUUCAAAUACGCUAGGCCUACCCUUGGCACAAAAGGGCACCCUACUUGUUUAAACUGUUUAUGUGGUAUUGUUGCUUUGACUGAGGACAUUUUUAGCCCACUUUUUGUCAAAAUUUUCUGAAAAUGCCAAAUACAAGUCACUACCAAAAUGUCCAACCAAAAUUCCACGAGUCUUGAGUUUCUCAGCCAGAAAUAAAAUCCUACUACCAAAUCCAAAAAUGUUACUCUAUCAUCUCAGGAAAGGUGAAAUUGCUGCUAGGAUGGAAAAGGGCAAUAAUGUCGAAAUGAAAACGACUGAGGAGAGUCUAAGGAUGAAACUGCGUCGACUCAAACAAGAGAUUCGAGAGAUAGGAGAAAAAAAUAGAAGUAGAAUUAGCCACCGCAGCUGCGCAAGCCAAAAGGGCAGCACUGGACGCAGAGUUUGCGGCUAAGAUGGCAAGAUAUGCUAUCAUGAACGAGGAGACUGUUGCUAUGCGGAAGGAGCAUGAUGCUUUCAACAAUGAUAUAACCCUGAGGCUUCAAAAACUACAUGAAAAAUACCCUUUCUUCAACCAAGAGGCCACCAACAGUGGUCCUGAAGGCACUGGACCUGAAUCUGUUGAAGAGGAACUUGAGGAGGAAAUUGUCUAUAGACCUCCUUUCAAGGGACGGUGGAAAGAAGAGAAUGAGAAAACCGCCCCCAAAACGUAUGAGUUCGCCCCCCGUUGCUAAUACGGCAGUCAGAGGAAGGAGCUUCGGUGAAGGCACCAUCUAUCUUUUAGGAGCUUUCUUAUCUGUUUUUCACAUUCCUUGUAAUCAUCAGAAAUGAAUGAAUGAAAAUGAAAAUUUCCUUGUAUUCGAACUACGUAGGGCCUGAAUUCUCCUUCGGAGAUACGUAGGCAGCCUUUCAAGGCCCGGCCCCUAUCUUUUUAAAAUUUUCCUUUUCCCCCUCUUUUAUUCUAUAAGGAAACAUUGAGUUCAGAUCAACAGAUGCCAGAAGAUGCAGCAAGAAGACCUUUGCUCACCGCAAUUUAACUUUUCUGAGUCACUAGCCCCAAAAUAAAACGAGCAAAUUCCUGCUAGUUCAAAAAAAUCAGUCCCCCUUAUUCGUGUGUUAACAUGUUCUCAGACAAAGCAAUUUUUAUGUGUUUAUCUGCUUUCUAUGUGAUAUCUUGCAUUAUUCAUCCAGAACUAAUACUGACAGAUUUGCCUUUGAGUUGUUUUGCCUACAGGUAGUUAGAACUGAUCUGUGUUGAUACACUGGCCGAUCAUCCCUAUUUUACCAGAUCAAAAGGGCCUACAGAUUCCUUUCCCAGCCAAAGUCCAAAGGAAAGCAGCAAUGAGUGAUAACAACGAAGAAAUCGACCUUACUGAUGUCGUGGUAGCUCAUCCCGUCCUUGCCGAUCAGAAUGAACUGAUCAUGCAGUUGAUGCAACAAAUUGCUGAGAUGAGAGUCGAGAUGCAGAGAAAACAAGAUUUGCCUCCUCCGAUUUUUACUUUCAAUGCGCAAUUAGACGGAAGACCUCCAGCUCAAAUUCCCCCUCCUAACGUGGAACAAGCUUAGAACCUGCCUUUAAGUCCUGCUCGUAAUCCCUCCAUCAUUGACCUUACCACCCAAAACCCCCAUUACGCUUCAACCUCCUACCAAACACCACCCCCUCCUCAAAAUACCAACCCUCAAGCAGCAUUUCCUUCCCCCAAUGCAAACCACCAAACUGGCCUACCCCCUCAAAGCCAAAAUGUUAACCGCCCGCACAUUUUCCUCCAUUACCAAAAUCAACAUACCAACUCCCAGACUUUCCCUCAAAAUUACCAAGCCACUCAAAAUGCCCAAAGUCCCUCCAUUGCUCCAUCACUACCACAAAAAGGCACCUUCCAAAUACCAGUCCCCAACGAGCAUGACGCUCAUGGUUCGAAGCUCGACCACUAUGAGGAGAGGGAGAGAAAGUGGAGGUCAAAGGAAGAGGCCGCCAAGAUAGAUGUGAAAGAGGAAAUUAGAAAAACCAUGAAGGAGUUGAACUGCAUUCCUGAGGUCGCCGGGUUGAGUUACGAAGACCUGUGCAUUCAUCCGAAUUUGGAUCACCCGGGAGGGUUCAAGGUGCCAAAAUUUGACAUCUUCGGAGGAACGGGGAACCCCUUAGCACACCUGAGGGCCUACUGUGACCAACUCGUGGGAGUUGGGAGAGACCAAGCUAUGUUAAUACUGCUUUUUAGCCGAAGUCUGAGCGGAGAGGCUCUGGAAUGGUUUACGUCUCAUGAAACGAGACAGUGGUCUAGCUGGAAGGCUCUGGAUAAGGACUUCAUCGAACGAUUCGCCUACAAUGUGGAGAUCGUUCCUGAUCGCUACUCCUUGGAGAAGUUGAAACAGAAGUUGACCGAAAGUUACAAAGAAUUCGCUUAUAGGUGGCGAAAGGAGGCAGCUAGAGUUAGACCUCCUAUGUCAGAUAAGGAAAUUGUUGAGAUGUUGGUGCGGGUGCAAGAGCCCGAGUAUUAUGACAGAAUCAUGUUGCUCGUUGGAGCAAAGUUUGCUGAGAUAGUCAAGGUAGGUGAGACUAUCGAAGAUAGAUUGAGAACCGGGAAGAUUGCCCGUGUUGCUGCCUCGCCCGGAUCUUCGGGCUUAUUGAAGAAGAAAAGAGAGGAUGUGUCCUCUAUCUCUUACGAGGGGAAGAAGACCCCAAGAAAAUCCUUAUCAUACCAAGGUCGUUCUCGACCUUCACAGAGUUCAUACCCAGUUUGUUAUGCACAGGCUGAUCACCAGAAUACCCCUCCCCCAGUUAUCAAAAUAUCCCUCCUACCAGUUAUCAAAAUACUCCCUCUCCUAGCUACCAAACUUCUCCUACUAUCUACCAUCUCAUCACUACCGCAAUCUCGCCCUCAACUGUGCCAACAUUCAGACAAAUUAUCAAACGCCUCCCCCAAUGUACCAAACCCCAGCUCCACUUUACCAAAAUACCCCCUUGAACUUCCAAGCUCCACAACCAAAUUACCAAACCAACUCAUAUACCCAAUAUCAAGCCCCCCGUCCGAAUGCUCCAAAUUAUCGCCAAAUGUCUCCCUCUCAACAAGGAAAUUAUGAUCCCUCCCGUCCUAGAUUUGAGAAGAAGCCUGCUAGAACUUUUACUCCGCUUAUUGAAAGCCGAACAAAGCUGUUCGUGCGAUUAACUGCAGCACGAUGUAUUCAUCCAGUGGGGCCCAAGCCAGUCGACACUAGCUCAAAGUUUUACAGACCUGAUCAGAGGUGCGUGUAUCACUCCAACAGUGUUGGACAUGAUACUGAGGACUGUAUCAACCUGAAGCACAAGAUUCAAGACCUAAUUGACCAGAAUGUGGUCUCUCUUCAGACGGUCGCGCCCAAUGUCAAUAGUAAUCAUUUGCCGAAUCAUAGAGGCGCCACUAUCAAUAUGAUAGAGACAGAUGAUGAUUGGUGCGUGACAAAGGCAAUAGUUCCGAUUGCUCCUGAUGAACUGGAAAGGGCCGUAGCUUCGUUGAGCAUCAGAGAAAAGAAGGAGUUUGUGAUUCCGACACUCGAGAAGGUUGUUGCCUUGGUGCCACGAGAAACCCUUACCCAACCAAAGUUUGUGAUUGAAACGACUGUUACCCAGGGUAUGACCAGAUUUGGUAGGUGCUACACACUGGGCCUUCUUGAUGAGUUUUGGAGGAAAAUGCAGCCGAAAGAUUAUUCAAUUAUGAAGCAUUUGGAUAAGACACCAGCUCAGAUUUCUGUAUGGGCCUUCUUGAUGAGUUUACAACUGCAUAGGCAAGCAUUGAUGAAUGCUCUGGAUGAUACUUAUUUGCCCGUGGGUACCAACAGUGGCAAUCUAGCAGCCAUGAUAAACCAGGUCAUCCGAGGACACCAAAUUAGUUUUUCUGACGAAGAGUUGCCCUUUGAAGGCAGGAUGCACAACAAAGCUCUGCAUGUCACCACUAUGUGUCGAGAUAAGAUAAUAAAUCGCGUAUUGAUUGAUGACGGAUCCGGUCUUAAUAUUUGCCCACUUUCGACUCUGAGACAGCUAAAAUUUGAUUUGGGAAAGCUUCACCAGAACCAAGUCAAUGUGAGGGCUUCUAAUGGAGUGAAAAAAGACACAUUGGGUGCGGUGAACUUGGAUAUUCAGGUGGGUCCUGCGGAAUUCAACGUCGAGUUCCCGGUGUUAGAUAUCAACACCAGUUACAACUUACUUUUGGAAAGACCGUUCAUUCAUAUGGAUGGGGCUGUGCCGUCUACCCUUCACCAACUAAUGAAGUUUGUUUGGAAGGACCAGGAAUUGGUCAUUCAUGGUGAGGGGAGUCACUCCGAUGGGUAUGCGCCGAUCGUUCACGAGGUUUCUCGAGGUUCUGAUUUCUACACGGUGGAGCUGGUAAAUGCCACCGGUGAUGACUUGGCUCCACAGCCUCCUAUGCCUACCGUGUACAAGAUGAUUGCUACCGUCAUGCUCCAGAAUGGUUUCGAACCAGGUUUUGGAUUGGGGAAGCACUUUCAAGGAAUCGUCGAGCCUAUCCAAAUUCCUGACAAAGGAGCAAAGUUUGGCUUGGGGUAUGUCCCCAUGGAUACCGAUGAAGCAGAGAUGAAGAACAAGAGUAUUGAUCAAGCAUUGGCCAGGCCAAUUCCUCAUCUGUACCAGUCAUUUCCAGUACGAGAAAAUGUCAACGAUGGUGGUCUCGGGGAAGGAAUCUGGGACUGUUUGAGGAGAUUGAUGCGGUUAUCGAGAAAGAGGCUGGGACACCAGGCAUCCGUGAUGCAGAACCUGAUGAGCGAUUGCAGAACUGGACCUCCACACCACUCCUGAUUUUCCGCUCAUCUGGGUAGAAAGGACAUGCAUUUUGUUUGUUUUAAAAUUGGUGGUAGUCCGAAAGAGGCCCGAGACCCACCCUUCAUGCAAUUGUUAUUUGUUUGAAGCUUUUAAAUUCCCUUGUGGUGUUUAAAAAGGCAAAAUGGCCCUCGGCCAUGGCCAAAGUUUGUGUUUGUCUUUCAAUUUAAACGAAAAGCCUCUUUUGUCAAAACUUGUUUGUUUGCUUAUCUGUUUAUAUUUUACAUUCCUAACUUUGUUUGUUUAUGAUUUCAGUAAUAUUAAUUUUAAAACCUGCCAAUGUCAUGUCAUGUCAUGAACCGAGUGAACGAAAUAAGGCAGGUGAUGAUGAGUGUGAGGAAUAUGAAGAAAAAAAUGAGGUACCCGAACAUGUUAGCUGAGGAGUUUCGACAAUUCGAGAAUCAACACAAGCCAAAAUUUUUGAAGAAAUUGAAACUGUGAAUCUCGGAGAUGAGGAAUGUGUCAAAGAAGUCAGAAUCAGUGUCCAUCUGACUGAAGCCCAAAGAAGAGACUUGGUUCGUUUGCUCAGGGAGUACAUUGAUGUAUUUGCCGGGUCUUAUAAAGACAUGCCAGGGCUAAGUACGAAUAUGGUGUCCCACAAGUUGCCGAUCAAUCCAGAUUUCAAUCCAGUAAAACAAAAGACUCGGAAAUUCAAGCCUGAGUUGAGUUUGAAGAUCAAAGAGGAGAUUACAAAACAGAUGGAGUCUCAAGUAGUGGAAGUGACACAAUAUCCGACUUGGUUACCCAAUGUUGUUUCGGUUGCCAAGAAAGACGGAAAAAUCAGAAUUUGUGUCGACUACAGAGAUCUCAACAAAGCUAGCCCGAAAGAUAAUUUUCCAUUGCCGAACAUUCACAUUUUUAUUGAUAACUGUGCUAAGCAUGAGAUGCAGUCGUUUGUGGAUUGUUAUUAGGGCUAUCACCAGAUCCUGAUGGAUGAAGACGACGCAGAAAAGACAGCUUUCAUCACGCCCCGGGGUGUAUAUCAUUAUCGGGUGAUGCCUUUUGGUCUCAACAAUGCCGGUGCUACUUAUAUGAGGGCCAUGACAACUAUAUUUCACGAUAUGAUUCACAAAGAGAUCGAAGUGUAUGUAGAUGAUGUCAUAAUCAAGUCCCGCGAGAGUUCGGAUCACUUGACUCACUUGAGAAAAUUCUUUGAUCGUCUGCGUCGAUACAAUUUGAAGUUAAAUCCUGCCAAAUGUGCUUUUGGGGUGCCAGCUGGCAAGUUGUUGCGAUUUAUAGUCAGCAGAAGGGGCAUUGAGCUUGACCCUUCCAAGAUCAAGGUUAUUUAAGAAUUACCUCCUCCGAAGACCAAGAAAGAGGUAAUGAGUUUCUUAGGAAGGUUGAACUAUAUCAGCCGGUUCAUAGCUCAAUCCACCGUGGAGUGUGAGCCCAUCUUUAAGUUAUUGAAAAAAUAUGUCUCGACCAAGUGGACUGGACAAUGUCAAACUGCUUCUGAUGCCAUCAAGACCUAUUUGUCCAAUCCGCCGGUGUUGGUCCCUCCGCAAGAAGAGAGUCCAUUAUUGCCAUAUUUGUCUGUCUCAGAUAAUGCAUUGGGAUGCGUGCUUGGUCAACAUGACGAAACUGGGAAGAAAGAGCGAGCCAUCUAUUACUUGAGCAAACAUUUCACUCCAUAUGAGGCUCGAUACACUCUUUUGGAGAGAACAUGUUGUGCUUUGACUUGGAUCGCUCAAAAGUUGAGACAUUAUUUGUCUUCGUAUACCACAUACCUUAUUUCCAGGAUGGACAUGUUGAAGUAUAUUUUCCAGAAAGCAAUGCCGACCGGGAAGUUGGCUAAAUGGCAAAUGCUUUUGAGUGAGUUUGACAUUGUGUAUGUGACUCAAAAGGCGAUAAAAGCACAAGCCUUAGCUGAUUAUCUUGCGGAGAAUCCAGUUGAUGAAGAGUACGAACCGCUCAAGACUUAUUUUCCCGAUGAGGAAGUUUCAUUUGUUGGUGAAUAUAUUUCCGAAGCAUACCCCAGUUGGAGAGUAUUCUUUGAUGGAGCGGCAAAUCACCAAGGGAAAGGUAUCGGAGCAGUUUUAGUAUCAGAAUCCGGUCAGCAUUAUCCUAUGGCGGCUAAACUACGAUUUAAUUGCACAAACAACAUGGUUGAAUACGAAACUUGCAUCCUCGGUCUAAGGAUGACCAUUGAUAUGAAUGUUCACGAGUUGCUGGUUAUUGGAGAUUCAUAUUUGCUGAUUAAUCAGGUUCAAGGAUAAUGGGCAGUAAAGAACCCAAAGAUCACACCAUAUGUGCAGUAUAUACAGAAGUUGUGCAAAAGAUUCCGCAAGAUUGAGUUCAGACACACUCCCAGGACGCAGAAUGAGCUUGGUGAUGCUCUUGCCACCAUCGCCUCAAUAAUUAAACAUCCAGAUACAAGUUAUAUUGAUCCAGUGGAUAUAGAGGUAGAAGAGCAGUCUGUCCAUUGUUCGCAUGUUGAAGCGGAACAAGAUGGUCUGCCGUGGUAUUUUGACAUCAAGAAGUAUUUGGAGGGCGGGACUAAUCCUGAGAAUGCAACGUUUAAGCAGAAGAAGUCGAUACGCCGCAUGGCCCUCAAUUUCUUUGCAAGUGGGGAAGUCCUUUACAGGAGGAUUCCAGAUUUAGUUCUUCUCAGAUGUGUUGAUGCUAGUGAAGCUGCAAAGUUUCUGGAAUAAAUAUAUGCAGGAGUCUGUGGUACUCACAUGAAUGGGCUCACUUUGGCAAGAAAGAUCCUCCGAGCCGGUUAUUUUUCGAUGACUAUGGAGCACGAUUGUUGCAAGUUUGUGCAGAAGUGUUAUAAAUGUCAAGUGCAUGGAGAUUUGAUUCGAGUGCCACCUCACGAACUUAAUGCUAUGAGUUCACCGUGGCCAUUUGUAGCUUGGGGCAUGGAUGUCAUUGGUCCGAUAGAGCCAGCCGCCUCUAACAGACACAGAUUUAUUUUGGUUGCCAUUGACUACUUCACCAAGUAGGUGGAAGCAUCUUCGUGUAAGUCGGUGACCAAGAAGGUUGUAGCUGAUUUUGUUCGCAACAAUUUGAUAUGUAGGUUUGGAGUACCGGAAUCCAUCAUUACUGAUAAUGGAGCGAAUCUCAACAGUCAUUUGAUGAGAGAGAUAUGUGAACAAUUCAAGAUUACUCACCGGAACUCAACCGCCUAUCGUCCCCAAAUGAAUUGAGCCGUAGAAGCUGCCAACAAAAACAUAAAGAAGAUUUUGAGGAAAAUGAUUGAUAAUCGCAGAGGUUGGCACGAGAUGUUGCCAUAUGCUUUGUUGGGUUACCGAACAACUGUCAGAACAUCAGUUGGAGCUACUCCAUAUUUGCUGGUAUAUGGAACAGAAGCAGUUAUACCUGCAGAAGUUGAAAUACCCUCAUUGAGAAUCAUCCAAGAAGCUGAAUUGAGUGAUGUUGAAUGGGUUCGCAAGCGGAUUGAUCAGUUACAUUGAUUGAUGAGAAGAGAAUGGUUGUUGUUUGUCAUAGACAACUAUAUCGACAGAGAAGGAUUAAGAGCCAGGAUAUUUGAAAUUGGCCAGCUGGUCCUUAAACGCAUUUUCCCUCAUCAGGAUGAGUACAAAGGGAAAUUUGCACCAAAUUGGCAAGGACCCUACAUGGUUCGCAAAGUAUUAUCUUGAGGUGCCUUGGUCCUGUCGGAGAUGGAUGGCACCGAAUGCACGAAACCGAUCAACUCAGAUGUUGUCAAGAGAUACUACGUUUGAAGUUUCAGUUUGUAUUUAAGUCAUUCCCUUGUAAUCGUUCUAUUUGCUUGUAAUCGCUUUGUUUAUAAUUUUAUCCCUUUUGUAAUGAACUACGUUCGACCUGAAUUCUCAAGAAAGAGAUACGUAGGCGGUCUAAGGUGGCCUCGGUCGGUUUCUUUGUAAUUUUCUUAUUUCUGUUAAUCCUUGAGGGGGAACUACGUUUGACCUAUUUCCUGCGUCAACGGGAUACGUAGGCGCCACAAUGGCUCGGUCAUAUUUCCCGUAAGAUUUCUAUUUCUCUUUAGAAUAGAAACUGGGACACAAUUUUUGAGAGGGACUCAAAAUUUCUCAAGCAGAAGAUCUCUCCAAUAAAGUCAAGGCUGAAGUUACUUUGAGAUUUACAACUGGGACAGAAUUUUUGAGAAGAUCUCAAAAAUUUCAUCAUUUGAUCAUCAACAGUUCGGUAUGUGCCAAGAUAAUUAAAUGGGACAGAAAUUUUUUAGGAGAACCUCAAAAAUUUCAAUGAGGUUCAUUGGCAGUUUAGAGCAACUUUGAAUACUUCCUAGCAAAUAUUCAGAUAGACCUCGGGACAUCAACUUCAAAAGCGUUCAUUAGGCUUGACGUGACAUGACACUUGACAGUGACCUUUUCCAAACAUUACUUUUGAAAAUCUAUUUUCCUUAAAAGCUUUUCCCUCAUGUUUCAAUAUUUUCACAUGAAAAUGUUUUUGUCUUAUCUAUCAAGAAGCGGGAGAUCGAAGAAAUCAACCGGAGAUAGCGGGGCAAGGACUAGACAACCGAAGAGAUCAACACAGAUCAGUUCAUUUGUAAACUAUCAAUUUUUCUAUGGAUGUAGGUCUACAGGGUGCCUCAAGAUCGACAUAUUCUUCCAUUCAAUGAAUAUGGAGAAGUCAAAAGGGCGAAGAGCUCCCCAAAUUGAUAAUUUUUUCGGUAGAUGCAGGAAAUAUUUUAUGUUUCUUAUAUCAAAUAUUCGGGAAUAUGAAUAGCAUUAUUUCAUUCAAAUUCCCAACAAGGCAAAAUCCAUAAUGGACAUACGAUUAUGUUCGAAGAGGUGACAAAUAAAAACCUCGAAGAGAGAAAUUUUAUUUAUUUUCCAGCAACUAAAGAUAUCUGGAAGACGUUUAUCUGCAUUGUAUUGUCCGAUAUGAUAAUAUUCCUACACUGAAGGUUAUUUAUAUUGUAUUGUCGAAUGAGAUGAUACCACUACCUAGAGAGUUAUUUAUAUUGUAUUGUCAAAUGAGAUGAUACCACAACUCUGAGCGUCAUUUUAUUUAUAUUGUCGAUUGAGACGAUACUGUCAUCCAAAAGAUACCCAAAAGGUCACAUAUGUCGAUCGGGGAAGCACUACCUUCGUUCGGUAUCAGGGAGGCAUCAUCAGAGAAGGAAGCCAUGCAUUGCAAGAGAAGAUUCAUGCAUCGCGGAAAAAAAUCCAUGCAUCGCGGGAAAGAAAGUCAUGCAUCGCGGAGGAAAAAUUCAUGCAUCGCGAAAAAAGAGAUUCAUGCAUCGCAAAAGAAGAUUCAUACAUUGGAAGAGAAGAUUCAUGCAUCGCAGAAAAAAGAAGUCAUGCAUUGCAAGAGAAUGAUUCGUGCAUCGCAGAAAAGAAGUCAUGCAUCGCCGGAAAGAGAUUCAUGCACCGCAAGAGAAGGAUUCAUGCAUCGCGGAAAAGAAAUCAUGCAUCGCGGAAAAGAGAUUCAUGCAUAGCAAGAGAAUGGUUCAUGCAUCGCGGAAAAAGUUAUGUAUCGCGGGAAAGAGAAGUCAUGCAUAGCAAGAGAAGGAAAUCAUGCAUCGCAAGAGGAAGAAAUCGUACAUUGCAAGAGAAAGAGGUCAUGCAUAGCAAGAGAAAAGGUCAUGCAUCGCAGGAGAAGGAAUUCAUGCAUCGCGAGAAAAAUUCAUGCAUGGCAAGGAAAAAAUUCAUGCAUUGUGAAAAGAGAUUCAUACAUCGCGGGAAGAAAUUCACUAAGAUCCGCCUAUCAAAGGAAGAUCAAUAUCGACUAAAUUAUUUUCUCUGCAAAAACAACAUCAAGAGAAUAAUCAACAUAUUACAUCAGCCUUUUUAUUGCUUUGACAUCAAAAGAAGAGUACAUUGAAGAUUAUAUGGCAAAUAUAAGACACAAGCUUUAUUUGCUUUGCGUCGAACCCAAUGGAGUUGAUGCCAAAUGUUCAAGGAGAGCAAUUAAGUGUCAACAUGGUAAAAGACAUUAUCCCUCAAUUUGGAUUGCAUUUUUAUACUAAUGAGUUUUAUCUCAGUCUUUGUCGAGAGCAUCCAAGAGGAUGAAUUCUCAAAAUAAACCACAGGUGCGGACGACCUUAAUUAGGAUGCAGCACAACGUGGAACUUUUUCUUAGCAGCAAACUGGGACAUAGUCCAAAGAGGAGUGACAAACUCUUAGGACGCGAGCAGAGGAGCGACUUCCACCACAAUCAAACCACACCCCUAUCAGAAGGCAUGUGGGUUUAUCUUUAGGUUUGUCGGUUUCAGUUUCGCAUCCGGAAAUUUUGGUCUCUACCGGAAGCAGCUUUCCAAUCUGAGUGACGAUGCACCAAGAGUUUUUGGAAAUUUAUGUCCGUGUAAGUUCUUAAUUAUGGGUGGGAAGGGCACCACAUUCAUGGCUAAGAGGUUGCAAACCUCCUUUUCAUACUCAACUUACUUUGUCACUCUUCCUGAACCGAAGGAUAUCUCAGCAUAAAAGAUUUCCUUCUCAACCGACAGAGUCGAACUACAAGCAGCCUGAUUUCCUAGGUUGAGGAAUAUGCAGGCGGGAUCAAUGUUGAAAACUCGGCUGUAUUGCAACAUUCACUCUCAAAUCUUAUUCCCGAGUAUUCUGAUCUCUGGGUAAUCCGAUAUCGGGAUGACCUUGAAUUCUUUCAAACUCGUGCGUUAAAUCAAGCGUAUCGAACUACAAGUGGCCUGAAUUCUCAUAUAACCUGAGAUAUGUAGGAAACCCAUUUCCGGGGUUCGGCCAUAAUUCCUAAAGUUCGUACCAAUUCCCUUUUUUUCAAAAGAUAGAGAUGUGGUCGUUCAAAAUUGGAUUAGUCAAUUUCAUUUUCCUCAAAUUUCUUGCAUCAAUCCAAGUAAAAUGAAGGAUAGUUGUUGACACCCAAUUUUGAUCCUCCUCGAUAAUAAAAUUGCGACGAAUACAUCAUAAGAAGGGGAAUACAAAAUUAUUGGUCUUCAUUCUGCGUUUGAUAUACAAAAUGAUAUUGAAAUACAACCUGAUAUUUGAAAAUAAAAACUGAGCCAGAAAAUACUUUCUGCAAAUGUAAAGUGAAAUAAUAAUAUAACAAAACUGGAUAUUGAAAUUUAAAUACAAUUUAUUUUGAAUACAACUUAUUCUAUGUAUUAUGUAUUCAUCGCUGUUGACACCCAAUUUUGACCCUCCCCNNNNNNNNNNNNNNNNNNNNNNNNNNNNNNNNNNNNNNNNNNNNNNNNNNNNNNNNNNNNNNNNNNNNNNNNNNNNNNNNNNNNNNNNNNNNNNNNNNNNNNNNNNNNNNNNNNNNNNNNNNNNNNNNNNNNNNNNNNNNNNNNNNNNNNNNNNNNNNNNNNNNNNNNNNNNNNUUUUAAAUAAUAUAUAUGUCUUAUAUAAUUUUGUAUACAAUUAGUAUAGUUUGUGAAUAUUCGAAGACCGCCUCAAAACUUUUCAUUAAAUAUUUGGUUAAUUAGUGUAGUUAUCUAAUGGCUUAUAUUUUAACUUAUUUAGUUUAUAAUUGAGUUAAUUAUUCUUAUUUCGUUAACAUUGAGAAACUCAUUAAUUAAAAUAUAUUAAUCCGUCUUAUCGAAAAUUUAGCCGAAUUAGCCAAUUACAAUUCAAAUUGGCUGAAUUAGAAUUCCAUUUAUCUAUGUAAAAAUACCAAGUUGGGCCAUUCUUUUCUCAAUUUCCAGCAGCCCAACGUUUCACUUAAUCCCAGAUCCAAUUCUUUUCAGCCCACUUUUGGGCCAAUCUUAAUCCCUCAAUUUCCCUUCAUUAAUUCAACCAUCCCAAUUUUAUCCUAACCGACCCGACCCAACCCCUUUUCCCCUCCUAAAUUCAACGUUAACACCAAAUUCCAUAUAGCAGGGAUACAACGCCCACCCGACUCCAUCACUCUCUUCUUCUUCCUCGCGUGACCAGUACACUGCCAAACCCAGAACGAGCAACAACCCAAUACUGUUCCAGCAGUACGUUUCAGCAACCAGGCACGCGAAAAUUGUCCUAGCAUCGUGAGAUGAUGCCACGUUGCGCCCCAAGGACGGGAGAUCAAUCACAAGCGUCGAUUCGCCCUUUCCUCUUCCGGAAUGGGUGAAAUUUCAGAGAAAAGGUUGCCUCCCCUUAUUUGUGAAAGAUUUUCGAAUUUCGAAUUGGUCCCUUGUCUAUCCGUUUUUUCAAUCCGUUUCCCUCCGAUUUGGAACCCUAAUACCCUUCUAUAAAUAUUCUUGUUCUUUUCAGUAUUAAGGGGGAUGGGGAGUGAAAAAAAAUAAUAAUAAAUAAUUCAACUAAGGCAUCCAAAGUAACUCAUACCUGAAAAAACACAUUUCAAAGAGAAAUAGAGAAGGGACUUUGUUCUUUUUGUGUCUUUUUGGUUUGAUAUUCUCGCCCAAAUUUCUUAGCUACUGUUCGUGUUUCGAAUUUCGCGUGGUGAAGGUUGUAAUUCCAACUCGUCUUGUCCCUGUUUCGCUACAUAUAAGAAGGUAAUGCCUCCUCCAUUAUAAUAUCUUCCUUAUCUCUUAUUCCGUUUUAAAGGCGAUAAUUUUUUUUAUGUCGAAAAACUUCAUCAAGUGACUGGUUCGCUAUUAGUGGUUGAGUUGGUAAUUUAUUAAUGCGAUGCUCUGUUACGAUUUGGUUUUGAUAUGGAAUUAAUAUUAUGUUAUGUAUUAGCAUCACUGCUCCUCUCCUCCCCUGUUCGAACCCACUCUUGCUAUUUUGCUUCUUGUAUGCUCGCCUUAGUGUCUUCGAGUCUGUAUCCUCCUAUCCUCGUUGUCUCUUAGAAUCUAGAAUUUUAUUCAUUAUUUUUUAUGCUACUAUGCUACUGUAAUGUUGUUAUUCUUUUCAAACUAAGGAAAAAUCUUGAAAAUUUAUUGAUAUGAAAUUUGUAUGUUAUUUUGUUCAUUUGUUCGUUAGAGGCAGUAGCCUUUUUUUUAUUUUUUUUUUUAUUUUUUCUAGAGUAUCAUGCUUGAACCAUUUUGUGUAUUCAUGUUGUUUAACUACUUUUUAUUUGUUUCCAAACCCAUAUUGCCAGCAUCUUGCUUUGUCUUAAGCGUAAGCCCCUCCAUUAUUUGUCAAUACUCGUCACUCGUUUUUGAAAGGAGCAAGGUUGUAAAGGCAGUUGCUACUUGUUUGUUUUGAGUUUGGAAAUCCAUGCUCUUGAAGUGUUAAUUUCAUUCAGUGUUGUCUCUUGUCAAUUUACCUUUCGAAUCAGCCUUGGAUUUUCCUUUCUUUCAGCCUUCGUGUCAAAACCAACUUGUAGUGUUAAGUCUCUAAUCCGUUAAUCAUUUACCAUUUUGUUGUUAGGCUGAUGCAUUAGAAGAGCAUUAAAGCAUGCCUAUUCUUCCUCGCAUUCUUUCAUUUAUUUGUAGGUGUUAAAAUUCCUUUUUCGUUCUUGUAUGAAAAUUAUAUGAUUUCUAUGCCUUACCUUCUAAAUAUUAUUAUGAUAAUUAGCGUAUGUUAAAGCAUUUGGGGUUUUAUUUUUUUAUUAUUGCAUAGCUUGUUUACUGUCCUGUUUAGUCACAGGAGAGCAUGUAAUGUAUAUUUUUUAUUUUAUUUUUCAUUUUGUUUGGAGUCAUUGUUGGUUUUAAAAGAGAGGAAAAUAUUAGUUUAUUUGCAUUUGUCAUUGUGUCAAAUUAAUGUUUGUUUGCUCUUUUCCUUCUUUACACCAAAACUUGGUAAUAUUGAUUCUUAUCAAAAAGCAUGUUUCGACCCACUUGCUCUCUGUUACUCACCCUUGCUAGGAUAUAUUUGUUCUUUAAUGCUUAUCCUUGCCUUAUUGUCUUGCAUGAUUGAUUGCACAAAACAUGUAGUCAUUAGUUGACUAUAGUCUAGUCAUUGUAUUAUGGGAAAACUUUAAAUAAGUAUAUUGAUUCAUUUAUCACUGGAGUAUUAAAAUUGUUUGAAUUUUGACCGUAGCUUUAGUGGUCUUGGAACAUUAAAAUGUCACUUGUGUAUGGAUGUAAGACCCUUGGUGAUAUACAUUAUCUUUCACUGUGCUAAUAUUAUAAUAUGGUAGUAGAUAAAUAUUAGAAUAUGGUAGUAUAUAGAUUUUAGAAUAUGGUAGUAUAAUAAAUUUUAGAAUAUAGUAGUAUAAUAAAUUUUAGAAUAUAGUAGUGCAAUAAAUAUUAGAAUAUGGUAGUGUAUAAAUUUUAGAAUAUGGUAGCAUAUAAAUUUUGUUUAUUUGGGUGUUUUCUUUAUAUUAUUCAUAACUCUUACUUACUGAUUCUCAUUUUCGUGUUUGCAUGUGAAAUUUUUCCGAGUUCUCACGGACCUCAUCCUUGCAUUUUCCUUUGGGCUACGGAAGCCCAAUUCCUCUUUAUCCGAGUCGGAUUUCCAAAAAUUGACGUGCAGAUCUCAGAGUGGAAAGAAUUCAUAACAAAUUGGAGAGUCAUAAAAUUGGGCCAAAGGCCCACUCUCUACUUCGAAAUUGUAUUUUGCUAUUUUUGGGCCUAAGCUUUUUAUUGUAAUUAUUAUUACUUGUUAGUUAUUAAGACAGGUACAAGGAGACAAGAAUUGGGCCAAAGGCCCAAAGAAAAGCAAAUUUCAAAGAUUAGUUUAGGACAGGUACUAAAUAUUGAGCCUUUGGUCCCGAAACAAAAAUUAGGCCCAAAUACUGGCCCAGGCGGACAGGAAAACCAGAUUUGGGCCCAAAUCUCUUUCCCUCUUCGUUUUAUUAUAUUUAUUUGUUGGUAUUUUCCAUUAAUCUUAAGUCCAACAAUUCAAAUCCCCGAAAGAAGUCCAUUUUGCUUUUAAGAAAUAACUAAACCAAUCAUCUCUUAACAAAACUCAAAAAAUAAAUUUUGCAAAUUAUAUCACUUGAAUAGUAUUCCCG
rnacentral:lncRNA from 1 species